UGCGCAGGUGGCCAGGUGUGUGAGGCGUGAAAGCCCGCUGCUCAACAGCGGAAUUGCACCUCAAACUAUUUGGCUAGAGCAUUGGAGAGGGGAGCAGAAUUCACGGUGUAGCAGUGAAAUGCGUAGAUAUCGUGAGGAAUACCAGAGGCGAAGGCGGCUCCCUGGACAAUUGCUGACACUCAGGCACGAAAGCGUGGGGAGCAAAAGGGAUUAGAUACCCCUGUAGUCCACGCCCUAAACGGUGCACACUAGGUCUUGGAGGAUUCGACCCCUUCAGGGCCCAAGCUAACGCGUUAAGUGUGCCGCCUGAGGACUACGGCCGCAAGGCUAAA
rnacentral:rRNA from 1 species